rfam:Saitoella complicata NRRL Y-17804 DNA, contig: contig021, whole genome shotgun sequence.
GGGGAUGUAGCUCAUCUGGUAGAGCGCUCGCUUAGCAUGCGAGAGGUACUGGGUUCGACUCCCAGCUUCUCCA